UACAGGGGGUGCAAACGUUGCUCGGAAUCAUUGGGCGUAAAGCGCACGUAGGCGGUUCGUUAUGUCGGAUGUGAAAGCCCUUGGCUUAACCGAGGAAGUGCAUCCGAAACUGGCGAGCUAGAGUACGAAAGAGGAUCGCGGAAUUCCCGGUGUAGAGGUGAAAUGCGCAGAUAUCGGGAGGAACACCAAUUGCGAAGGCAGCUCGCUGGGACGUCACUGACGCUGAGACGGCGAAAG
rnacentral:rRNA from 1 species